UUUAUGUUUCAAAUUAAUUUCUGACAUUUUAAGGCUCGACAGCACAGAUCUUGUUGGAAUCGCAAAGAUUUCUACAGGAAAUGUUUCACACAGCCUUUCCGUCUCCUUUUGAUUCCACUGCAGCUGCACACCUCGCAGCUCCUUGCCUGGAGCUAGACAGAGCUAAAUGUCAGCGAACGCCGUAGUGGACUUGAUCUGGAAAUGAGUGGGGUGCGCCAAUGCAAGAUUACAGUCCUCUUCCUCAUUCACCUGUGAUCUGCUCUCCCCAGGGCUUCUUCUCUCAGCUGAAGUGGUAGCUGGCUCUUUUCCAAGUAGAAGCACUGAAGACUGAAUUUGCCACCCAUUUCAACACUUUCUUCAUGCACACCAGAUGUUUUUAUGCAGAAGCCUGAGGGCUAGGAUGAGCUCUAUAUCACACUCUGAAGAUCAGCAAAUUCUGGCAGCUCCAUGAGUAAAACGAAAUCACAUGAUCUGUCUACCAUAAAUAUCUCACAUCUAGACUUUAGAUGUAGAAAUUAUUAGCAAAAGCACUUCAGCUGUUCUGCAUUGCCAUUCCAGGAAUGACAGAGUGAGAGCUAGAUUCAAGUAUAUUGGCUCUACAACUGGUGCACUGCUCUACUUUUUGAAAUCCCUCAUCAGCCAGAAGAAACUUUCAAUAGCUCAUGGGUUAUCUUCCAUUUAGCUCUUCGCACACCAUCUCCAACAAAAAUUCAUGCCAAGUGGUAGGCAGUUAGCUCCACACUGGACACAACACAACAACCUAGCAUAUGCAAAGAUGGGUUUUAUGUCAUAUUGAAACUGGUAUAAAAGUUUAACAGCUGGAAAACAAGGCAGAGCUGCAUAUUAUCUAUGUACUGAUGGCUUUGUGGCCCAAGUCAGUUUGACCCUUCCAGUGGUUUCUCCUGAGUGCAAGCGGAAGCUGGGAGCUAGACCUUGCAGAGCACUUCACCAGUGACAUCUGCUUCCUCUGAGGCCUUUCGGGGAUAAAAGAACAGAAAUUCCUAAGCAGUCAGUGCCCACAGGUAAACUUCAAAAAGCUGGACUUCAGAGUCUCCCAGAUACUGCUGACAGCUCUGAAAGAAUGAAUACCAAUGCUUGACACCUAAGUAUGCUGAAAGGUUACCUACACGACAGGCUGAAUUCCCACACUAUAGAAUCAUACGGGUAAACAAGAAAUUCUGAGCAAUACUCUUGUUAUUUCAGCAAAAAAAAAAUCUUAAAAAGUGAAGAUUUGAGCUACGGAAGUAGUUGGUCAGAUUUUCAAGAUCCAAAGUCAUGCCAUUUGCAAAUCAAAUAGAAUUAAUUCUUUGAUAUCUAUCUAGUACAUUUUAAUCGUUUGUAUUAAAAGCUAAGUAAAAGAUAAAUGACUUUAAAAAGCAUUUCUAAUCCUGGAAAGUGAAAGCAUUAGCUAGAUAGGGCUUUAAGAUCCUGGUGGAAGAUAACAAAAGAAACCCCUAAUUUAUUGAAUGUAAGGUUUUAUUAGAUACCAAUUUCUUGUUUGUUUACUGAAAUUAUUUUGGGCUACUAAAAUAUGUAUCUAUGUACAGUAAAUACAGAAAUACACAAGCGUUCUGUGUGACUUCUAAAGGGAACUUUCAAAAAACAGGUAUGAUUUAGGAAUGUAGAGCUGUAAUUUGUGUGCAAAGAAGUGAGACUGGUUGAAAAAUUUUAACCACUUCUAUAAACAAGACCAUUCAUGAAAUGCUGAGUAAACUGGAAGUGGGUGGUUCUCUCAGCAAUGCUCUUAGACCCUUUCUUAAAUGGAGCUUAGUGACAAGUCAGUAACUCCUUUGUGUGGCUUGUAUUUUCCUCUGUGAUCCCAUCUGUUACAAGACCCUCUCUGCAUACUCAAAUAAUUUUACCUCUUGUUAGACCAUUCUAGUCUAAAAACAGAUAAAAUAUUUAUGUGUCCAGCAUAUGCCACAUGGCAGAAUGAGAGUAAAUAUGAGAAUGCAGUCACGUUCAGUCACACAAAGACAUGACUUCAUACUGAAAAAGAUGCAACCGCCACCCAUUUGCAGGAGAUACUAUAUUUUCUUGCUUGACAUGUUACAUAAACAGUUUAUCUGAAAAACACAUUGACAGGACUGUGCCAGCUAACUUUUCUGUGUAUCGAACAUGGGAAAAUUUGUGUAUUUUCAAGACAUUUCUCUGUUUUUAAAUAUCAGUAGUAGAACAUAUUCUAACCAUGGAGUCUUUAAACAGCCCUCUUUGGAGAUCAGAAUUUAGGUCAUUCAUCCCUUCAGAGACAUGAAGUGUUAAAGAGAACAGUGUUUUCUGUCUAGUAAAGAGCUUUAUCA